GGACUACAGGGGUUUCUAAUCCUGUUUGCUCCCCAUGCUUUCGAGUCUCAGCGUCAGUUGUCGGCCAGAAAGUCGCCUUCGCCACUGGUGUUCCUCCCGAUCUCUACGAAUUUCACCUCUACACCGGGAAUUCCACUCUCCUCUCCGACACUCAAGCAACCCAGUUUCUUCUGCACGUUGUCAGGCUAAGCCCGCAGAUUUCACAGAAGACUUAAAUCACCGCCUACACUCCCUUUACGCCCAAUAAUUCCGAACAACGCUUGCACCCUCUGUAUUACCGCGGCUGCUGGCAC
rnacentral:rRNA from 1 species